CUCUGAACGUGGCCGUGGGUACGGUGUGGUCCCUGUGUCCCCAGGGAUGAGCUCAGGGUGUAGUCGGCCACCCUGGGCCUGAUCCAGAGAGUGCUGGCAUCAGCUGGGGCUUCUGCUGAUGUCGCUGCCUUUGGCUUUUGGUCUGUGCCACUAACUGGUACCACUGAAACUUUUUCUCCCCCUCCCUCCACGUAGAGUAGCGUGUUUUCACACCCGGCGAGCGCUUCGGCAGAGAUGUGAUAUGCAGGAGAAGCCAGGAAGCAUUUGCUAGGUGGAAUUCAGAGACGCUCUGUGCUAGAGAUCAGCAGCGUCUUUGAGACCGUUCUUAGAGGUCCUGGCAAGCAAACUUUAUUCCAGAGCUUCGAAAGGUAUGGCCAGGCUGGGAGCGCCUAACGUCGUGCCACUGAGGACGCGCGUCAGCGCCGGCCGUGCUGAGGCACAGCGGUGUUCAAAUCUCUCCUGAGAACAUUUUUUCUGAGUGACUCCAGCUUCCAGACACAUUUGCCAUGAGAAGGGUUCCAAUCCUUUCCUGUAUUUGCCCUGAGUCAUGAAUGGAUAUGUGUGAUGCCUGCAAGUAAAACUGGUAUGCCCGGCCCCGUGCGACCGCCUGGGGAGCGAUACGAGGAACAAAACCUCAGCUCUACAUUUGCUUUUCCUCCUUUGCUCUGCGGCGCCCAGGUUUUGAUGUGUUGCUUCUCAGAAGGCUUGACGGCGGUAAUAACGGAAACAGCAAAAAAUGUCAGCUUGACUACUGUCUGCGUGUCGGCACUAGUCCAGGGAGUUUCAAAGGGAUGUUUUAUUGAUUCUGUAAUUGCACAGUAGAAUGGACAAACUGAACUGUACCUCAGGGCAAGGAAAGCCCCUGUCUGAACGGCAUCUGUUGGAUGUGUGCGCUGCUGUAAUUUGGGCAGGGCGGUUUGAACCAGGGGACUGAAAGCUUGGCUUAACCCUUUCACUGGAGGCACUGGGGGCUCCAGUUGUGCCUUCUGAUGGCAGCCUGGGAAAAAGAGCUGAUUUGGGGAUCCCUUCUAGCACCAAAGUGACAAUUCGGGGCUCUGCUGGGAUUUAGACCAGCAUUGCUUUUAAAAGGAAAUUGGCACAUGAUCUUUUCCCUGGCGUUACUCUCCAGCUAUUCCCCUCCUCUGGGAUCCUGAGCCCACAGAAUUGUAACUUGCAGUGUUGCCUCACUUGCAAAAUCCACUUCUUAACUGAAAAACUGGUCUUAAUCUCUGAUGAAAUACAUCUGCGUUAUAGUGCUCCUGCCUGGGAGCUGGUAACUUCCUCUAGCACAAGCUGAUUACUUUCCAAAACUGAAGGAGUGGACUGAGCUGUUUUACUAAAACAAUUGCAAAUUAAAUUUGUAAACUUUUGCUGUUGCCAUAUUUUUUCACUGGCAUGCUGUCUGCGUGCUGUGUCUUUAAUUUGGUGAGAACACGAAUCAAUUAGGCUAACCUACAGCAAUGCAGAAACUGAGGGGAAAAAAUUAAAAUGCACUCUCUUGACUUGAUACGUGGGUGCCCAGGGUUUCUGUUCCAAUUAUUCUCUAUUAUUUCUGUUAGCCAACUAGAGCUGGGCAUCCUGCAAAGAGCAGUGCUUCAUCCCCAGGGCAGAGCCCACAAAACCCAGGGGUAGAAGAGCAGUGCAGGAGGAAGCAGAGUCCAGUCAGCAUCACUGAGGAGGACUGUAAGUUUAAUUGGGUUUCACAGUUUCAGGAUAAAAAGAGAAAAAAUC
ensembl:lncRNA